UCGUUGUGUAAAACCAAAAACUAAAAAGCACAUAAGUUUUUAAACUCCGUGUUAAAAUUCAGUACAUCGUUAAGUAAGCCGCACUAUCAAAUUUCGAAAGUUGUGAGUAUGCUUUUCUCUAUCCGAAAUGAAUAAUUGAAAUUAUUCAGUUUACGUGAUUAUACACACCGUCAUACAAUGAAUUUCAAUGGAUUGCGUCUUUUAUCUAUGUUGCUAGUCAGUUCUUUGAGUGUCGUUUCGGGACACGAAUGUCUUAAUUUAGAACCUAUGAAAAAUUUCCAAAUGGAAAAGUUUUUAGGACAAUGGUACGUCAUUAAAACGACGAUGCCAAAUACUCGAUGUUUAGUGUAUGAUCUUCACACGCAGAAAAUCGAAAAUUUGACAGAUUAUGUAGCUAAGUACAG